GAUGAACGCUAGCUACAGGCUUAACACAUGCAAGUCGCAGGGUAACAUGAGGAAAGCUUGCUUUCCUUGAUGACGACUGGCGCACGGGUGAGUAACGCGUAUCCAACCUUCCCAUAACUACGGGAUAACCCGUUGAAAGACGGCCUAAUACCGUAUGAUAUCGUUUGCUGACAUCAAAUAACGAUUAAAGGUUUAGCGGUUAUGGAUGGGGAUGCGUCUGAUUAGCUUGUUGGCGGGGUAACGGCCCACCAAGGCGACGAUCAGUAGGGGUUCUGAGAGGAAGGUCCCCCACAUUGGAACUGGGACACGGUCCAAACUCCUACGGGAGGGAGCAGUGAGGAAUAUUGGUCAAUGGACGAGAGCCUGAACCAGCCAAGUAGCGUGCAGGACGACGGCCCUAUGGGUUGUAAACUGCUUUUAGGUGGGGAUAAAGUGCGUGACGUGUCAUGCAUUGCAGGUACCACAUGAAUAAGGACCGGCUAAUUCCGUG
rnacentral:rRNA from 1 species